rnacentral:lncRNA from 1 species
CACACAUAUAUUCAUGAAAACAUAAUAGGUUCAGAUCUGAAAUCAUGGCACUCGGGCCCUAGUGACAAGCAUUAAGCAUAGCAAAGUCGUAGCAACAUCAAUCUCAGAACAUAGUGGAUACUAGGGAUCAAACCCUAACAAAACUAACUUGAUUACAUGGUAAAUCUCAUCCAACCCAUCACCGUCCAGCAAGCCUAUGAUGGAAUUACUCACGCACGGUGGUGAGCAUCAUGAAAUUGGUGAUGGAGGAUGGUUGAUGAUGAUGACGGCGACGAAUCCCCCUCUCCGGAGCCCCGAACGGACUCCAAAUCAGCCCUCCCGAGAGAGAUUAGGGCUUGGCAACGGCUCCGUACCGUAAAACGCGAUGAAACUUUCUCUCUGAUUUUUUCUCCAUGAGACAAAAUAUAUGGAGUUAGAGUUGAAGUCGGUGGAGCCUCAGGGGGCCCACGAGACAGGGGGGCGCGCCCAGGGGGGUGGGCGCCCCCCUACCCUCAUGGACAGGGUGUGGGCCCCCUGGUCUUGAUUCUUUCGCCAGUAUUUUUUAUAUUUUCCCAAAAGUGCCUCCGUGGAUUUUCAGGACAUUCCGAGAAAUUUUGUUUUCUACACAUAAAACAACAUCAUGGCAAUUCUGCUGAAAACAGUGUCAAUCCGGGUUAGUUUCAUUCAAAUCAUGCAAGUUAGAGUCCAAAACAAGUGCAAAAGUGUUUGGAAAAGUAGAUAUGUUGGAGACGUAUCAACUCCCCCAAGCUUAAACCUUUGCUUGUCCUCAAGCAAUUCAGUUGAUAAACUGAAAGUGGUAAAGAAAUUUUUUUACAAACUCUGUUUGCUCUUGUUGUUGUAAACAUGCAAAGCCAGCAUUCAGGUUUUAGCAAAUAUUAUGAACUAACCAUACUCACAAUAACACUUAGGUCUCACAAUUACUCAUAUCAAUAGCAUAAUCAGCUAGCGAGCCAUAAUAAUAAAACUCGGAUGACAACACUUUCUCAAAAUAAUCAUAACAUGAUAUAAAAAGAUGGUAUCUCGCUAGACCUUUCUGAGACCGCAAAACAUAAAUGCAGAGCACCUUUAAAGAUCAAGGACUGACUAAACAUUGUAAUUCAUGGUAAAAGAGAUCUAGUCAAGUCAUACCCGAUAUAAACCAAUAGUAAUGAAUGCAAAUGACAGUGUGCUCUCCAGCGGGUGCUUUUUAAUAAGAGGGAUGAUGACUCAACAUAAAAGUAAAUAGAUAGGCCCUUCGCAGAGGGAAGCAAGAUUUUGAGCGGCAUACUUUCGCUGUCAAUGGAACAACUAUGAGAUGGUUGUAUCUUCCAUACUACAUGCAUUAUAGGCAGUUCCCAAACAGAAUGGUAAAAGUUUAUACUCCCCCAACCACCAACAAACAUCAAUUCAUGGCUUGCUCGAAACAACGAGUGCCUCCAAGUAGCAACAGCCCUGGGGGAGUUUUGUAUAAUUAUAUUGAUUUUCUUUGAUCUUUUUGGAUCAUGGGACUAGGCAUCCCGGUUACCGACCCUUUCUCGUGAAUAAGAAGCGGAGUCCACUCCUCUUGAGAAUAACCCACCUAGCAUGGAAGAUAUAGGCAGCCCUAGUUGUAACAUGAGCUGCUCGAGCAUACAAAACAGAAUUUCAUUUGAAGGUUUGGAGUUUGGCACAUACAAAUUUACUUGGAACGGCAGAUAGAUACCACAUAUAGGUAGGUAUGGUGGACUCAUAUGGAACAACUUUGGGGUUUAAGGAGUUUGGAUGCACAAGCAGUAUUCCCGCUUAGUACAGGUGAAGGCUAGCAAAAGACUGGGAAGCGACCAACUGAGAGAGCAACAACAGUCAUAAACAUGCAUUAAAAUUAAUUCACACCGAAUACAAGCAUGAGUAGGAUAUAAUCCACCAUGAACAUAAAUAUCAUGAAGGCUAUGUUGAUUUGUUUCAACUACAUGCGUGAACAUGUGCCAAGUCGAGUCACUCAAUUCAUUCAAAGGAGGAUACCAUCCCAUCAUACCACAUCAUAAUCAUUCUAAUAGCAUGUUGGCACGCAAGGUAAACCAUUAUAACUCAUAGCUAAUCAAGCAUGGCACAAGCAACUAUAAUCUCUAAAUGUCAUUGCAAAUAUGUUUACCUCAUAAUAAGCUGAAUCAGGAACGAUGAACUCAUCAUAUUUACAAAAGCAAGAGAGGUCGAGUUCAUACCAGCUUUUCUCAUCUCAAUCAGUCCAUCAUAUAUCGUCAUUAUUGCCUUUCACUUGCACGAUCGAACAAUGUGUAUAAUAAUAAUAGUGCACGUGCAUUGGACUAAGCUGGAAUCUGCAAGCAUUCAACUCAAGAUAGAAGACAGGGUAAUAUGGGCUCUAAAUUAAAUAAGCAAUCAUGCAUAUGAGAGCCACUAAACAUUUUAAUCAUGGUCUUCUACUCUCGACCCCCAAGGAAAAGAAAAUAAAACUAUUUACACGGGAAAGCUCCCAACAAGUAAAAGAAGAACGAGAAAUCUUUUUGGGUUUUCAUUUUAGUUCUACUACAAGCAUGGAAAUUAAACUAACUAUUUUUUUUGUUUUUUCUUAAGGUUUAUCAAACACACAAGAAGAAAGCGAGAAAAAGGAAAUGAAACUAGAAUGGAUAAUACAAUGAAAGAGUAUGAGCACCGACGACUAGUGUGUGAACAUGAAUGUAAAGUCGGUGAGAAAUACGUACUCCCCCAAGCUUAGGCUUUUGGCCUAAGUUGGUCUAAUACCAAAGACCGCUUGGCUGAUAUCCAUAGUUGUAACUGGGGUCGUACUGAGAUGCAGCAGCAAUUGCCUCCUGAGCUGCGGCAUGUUGGUGAGCCGCCUCCGCUCUCCCCUCAUGUUCAGCUGCUUCCUCCCUGGUAACCACAUAUCUUCCUUUUGCCUGAUAAUCAAAAAGGAGAGGAGCAGGAAGAGUAACAUGGACGACGUUGCGUCUGUCAUAGAUUAGUCAAUAUUGGAGGAAUUGUUCAUUCCUCCUAAGAAAAUGAUGGUUGACCAUAGUGUCUUAAUCUAAAUAAGCAGGAGGUAACAUCAUAUCCCCCUCUCGUGGGGCUAUACCAAGAUAAUUAGCCACACGGGUUGCAUAAAUUCCUCCAAAUAAAUCUCCAGCUCUACCAUUAUUAUGCAACCUACGUGCAACUAUUGCCCCCAAGUUAUAAACUUUAUAACCUAACACAACACUCUUGAGGACACAAAGAUCAGGGACACACAUAUGGCAUGCUUCGUCUUUACUAUUAAUGCAUUUACCAAUGAAGAGAGCAAAAUAAUGUAUAGCAGGAAAAUGAAUGCUCCCUAUGGUAGCUUGUGCAAUAUCCCUGGAUUCUCCCACAGUAAUACUAGCAAGGAAAUCUCUAAAUUCAGAUUUGUGGGGAUCAUUAAUAUUACCCCACUGCGGAAGUUUGCAAGCAGUUGUAAAAUCCUAUGAGUCCAUGGUAUAAGAUGUAUCAUAAAUAUCAAAUAGGACACUAGGAGAAUUACACGUACAGUUAUAUUUAAACCUCCGCACAAAGGAAUCAGUCAAUUGAUAGUACCGAGGACACUUAUCUUGUAAGAAGUCCUCCAGAUCAGCAUUACACACAUACGCGUCAAAUUCCUCCUUAAAACUUGCUUCCACCAUAAAAUCAUCGGAUGUCCACUCACAGGCUCGUACAUCUGCAUCCCUGGGUAAUUCAACGUCUUGCUCACGUAUAGCAAUCCUGGGCCCUUUCUUCACCGAGGAACCACCUUGGUACAUUCUCCUAGACAUAAUUCUUUUUCUGAAAAAUUUCUGAAAUUUUAGUAACUUCAAAAUAAAAGUGAACAAAACUAAACAAGAAUGAUAGCAACUACUCCUACAAGUGCCUAGAGCCUAUAUCAUGCAUUAGAAUUGCUUGGGACCUCACAAAUUUAACAUGCAAGCUCAAGAACAUGGUCACCUAUGCAGCAAAAAUUUGCAAUGAAUAAAACACUAGAACAAAAAUUAAUUGGACCAAUGGAGGAGUCACAUACCAAGCAACAAUCUCCCAAAGCAGUUUUGUGAAUGGAGCUUUGAGCAAGGAGAUCGAAAAUCGCAGCAAAAUGAGCUAGAACUCGUGCUUGAGCUGGAUGGGGAUUUUUUGGGAAGAAGAUGGAGUGUGUGGGUGCUGGCAUAAGUGGAGGGGGGCCACCAGGGGCCCAUGAGACAGGGGGCGCGCCCAGGGUAGGUGGGCGCGCCCUCCACUCUCGUGGCCUGGUGCUUGCCCCUCCUGCAGUGAUUUCAGUGCCUAAAAUCCUAAAAUAUUCCAUAAAAAAUCAUACUAAAUUUGCAGGGCAUUUGGAGCACUUUUAUUUUUGAGAUAUUUUUAAUGCAUGGAUAAUUCAGAAAAUAGACGGAUAAUACUAUUUUUGCUUUAUUUAUUCUAAAUAACAAAAAGUAAAAAGAGGGUACAGAAGGUUGUGCCUUCUAGUUUCAUCCAUCUCAUGAUCAUCAAAAUGAAUCCACUAACAAGGUUGAUCAAGUCUUGUUAACAAACUCAUUCCGAAUAACAUGGAACCGGAGACAUUUCAAAUAACACUAGGUUACCUCAACGGGGAUAUGAACAUCCCCAAUAAUAAGAAUAUCAUACUUUUUCUUGACAGUAGGGAGAGGAAAUUCAAAACCUCCAAUAAUGAUAGUUGGAACUUUUCCAAUAGAAUUGAUGCUAUGAACUUGAGAUUGUUUCCUCGGAAAGUGUACCGCAUGCUCAUUACCGUUAACAUGAAAAGUGACAUUGCCUUUGUUGCAAUCAAUAAUAGAACCUGCAGUAUUCAAAAAGGGUCUACCAAGGAUAAUUGACAUACUAUCGUCCUCGGGAAUAUCAACAAAAACAAAGUCCGUUAAGAUAGUGACAUUUGCAACCACAACAGGCACAUCCUCACAAAUACCGACAGGUAUAGCAGUUGAUUUAUCAGCCAUUUGCAAAGAUAUUUCAGUAGGUGUCAACUUAUUCAAUUCAAGUCUAUGAUAUAAAGAGAGAGGCAUAACACUAACACCGGCUCCAAGAUCACAUAAAGCAGUUCUAACAUAAUUUCUUUAAAUGGAGCAUGGUAUAGUUGAUACACCCGGAUCUCCAAGUUUCUUUGUAUUCCACCUUUAAAAGUGUAAUUAGCAAGCAUGGUGGAAAUUUCAGCUUCCGGUAUCUUUCUUUUGUUUGUAAUGAUAUCCUUCGUAUACUUAGCAUAAGGAUUUACUUUAAGCAUAUCAGUUAAGCGCAUACGUAAGAAGAUAGGUCUAAUCAUUUCAGCAAAGCGCUCAAAAUCCUCAUCGUCCUUUGUCUUGGAUGGUUUAGGAGGAAAGGGCAUGGGUUUCUGAACCCAUGGUUCUCUUUCUCUACUGUCUUUCUUAGAAAAAAAUCUCUCUUAUCAUAACGUUGAUUCUUUGAUUGUGGGUUAUCAAGAUCAACAGCGGGUUCAAUCUCUACUUCAUUAUUUUUGAUAGGUUGAGUAUCAACAUGAACAUUAUCAUUAACAUUAUCACUAGGUUCAUGUUCAUCACAUGAUUGUGUUUCAGCAUCAGAAACAGAAAUAUCAUUGGGAUUCUUAGGUGUGUCUACAGUAGGUUCACUAGAAGCAUGCAAAGUCCUAUCGUUUUCCUUUUUCUUCUUUUUGGAAGAACUAGGUGCCUCUAAAUUAUUUCUCUGAGAAUCUUGCUCGAUUCUCUUAGGGUGGCCUUCAGGAUACAAAGGUUCCUGAGUCAUUCUACCAGUUCUAGUAGCCACUCUAACAGCAAAGUCAUUUUUAUUAUUUAAUUCAUCAAGCAAAUCAUCUUGAGCUUUGAGCACUUGCUCAGCUUGAGUAGCAACCAUAGAAGCAUAUUUGCUAAUGAGUUUGAGUUCACCUUUAACUCUAGCCAUAUUAUCGCUCACGCGUCCUAUCUCGAAAGCAUUAUUCUUUAACUCUCUACCAACAUAAGCAUUAAAACUUUCUUGUCUACACAUAAAGUCAUCAAAUUCAUCUAAGCAUGGGCUAUGAAAUUUAGUAGAGGGGAUUUCAACUUUAUCAUAUCUAUAGAGAGAAUUUACCUUUACUACCUGUGUCGGGUUAUCAAGACAAUGUGGUUCUUCAACAUGCGGUAUAUUAAGACCAUGUAUUUCUUCAAUAGGAGGUAAAUUCUUAACAUCUUCGGCUUUAAUACCUUUUUCUUUCAUUGAUUUCUUUGCCUCUUGCAUAUCUUCAGGACUGAGAAAUAAAACACCUCUCUUCUUCGGAGUGGGUUUAGGAAUAGGCUUAGGAGUUGGCUCAAUUGGUUCAGGAAUUUCAGGAAUUGACUCAGGAAGAGUCCAAUUAUUUUCAUUAAUCAAUAUAUUAUUCAAUAGUAAUUAAGCUUCGUCGACUGUUCUUUCCCUAAAAACACAACCAACACAACUAUCCAAGUAGUCCUUGGAAGCAUCGGUUAGUCCAUUAUAAAAGAUAUCAAGUAUUUCAUUUUUCUUGAGAGGAUGAUCAGGCAAAGCAUUAAGUAAUCGGAUAAGCCUCCCCCAAGCUUGUGGGAGACUCUCUUCUUUGAUUUGCACAAAAUUAUAUAUUUCCUGCAAGGCAGCUUGUUUCUUAUGAGCAGGGAGAUAUUUAGCAGAGAAGUAAUAAAUCAUAUCCUGGGGACUACGCACACAACUAGGAGCAAGAGAAUUAUACCAAGUCUUAGCAUCACCCUUUAACAAGAACGGAAAUAUCUUGAGGAUAUAAUAAUAGCGAGAUUUAUCAUCAUAAGUAAACAGGGUGGCUAUAUCAUUCAACUUGGUAAGAUGUGCCACAACAGCUUCAGAUUCAAGGCCAUAAAAAGGAUUAGAUUCAACCAAAGUAAUAAUCUCAGGAUCAACAGAGAAUUCAUAAUCCUUAUCAGUAACACAAAUAGGUGAAGUAGCAAAAGCAGGGUCAGGUUUCAUUCUAGCAUUAAGAGACUGCUGCUUCCAUUUAGCUAAUAAUUUUUAAGAUCAUAUCUAUCUUUACACGCAAAGAUAGCUCUAGCAGCUUCCUCUUCCAUAACAUAACCCUUAGGAACAACAGGCAAUUCAUAAUCAUUAGGAGAACCUUCAUCAUCACUAUCAUCAAUAAUAGCAUCUUCCAUAAUUUCGUUCUCUCUAGCCCUAGCAAGUUGUUCAUCAAGAAAUUCACCUAAUGGCAAAGUAGUAUCACGCACAGAAGUAGUUUCAUCAUAAGUAUCAUGCAUAGCAGAAGUGGCAUCAUCAAUAACAUGCGACAUAUCAGAAUUCUUAGCAGUGGCAGGUUUAGGUGUCGCAAGAUUACUAAUAACAGAAGGAGAAUCUAGUGCAGAGCUAGAUGGUAGUUCCUUACCUCCCCUCGUAGUUGAGGGAAAAAUUGUAGUUUUCGCGUCUUUCAAGUUCUUCAUAGUGAUCAACAGAUAUAAAUCCCAAGUGACUCAGAGAAUAGAGCUAUGCUCCCCAGCAACGGCGCCAGAAAUUAGUCUUGAUAACCUACAAGUGUAGGGGAUCGCAACAGCUUUCGAGGGUAAAGUAUUCAACCCAAAUUUAUUGAUUCGACACAAGGGGAGCCAAAGAAUAUUCUUGAGUAUUAGCAGUUGAGUUAUCAAUUCAACCACACCUGGAUAACUUAGUAUCUGCAGCAAAGUAUUUAGUAGCAAAGUAGUAUGAUAAUAAAGGUAACGGUAGCAAAAGUAAUAUUUUUGAGUUUUGUAGUGAUUGUAACAAUAGCAGCGGAAAAGUAAAUAAGCGAAACACAAGAUGUGAAAAUCUCGUAGGCAUUGGAUCAGUGAUGGAUAAUUAUGUCGGAUGCGAUUCCUCAUGUAAUAGUUAUAACAUAGGGUGACACAGAACUAGCUCCAAUUCAUCAAUGUAAUGUAGGCAUGUAUUCCGAAUAUAGUCAUACGUGCUUAUGGAAAAGAACUUGCAUGACAUCUUUUGUCCUACCCUCCCGUGGCAGCGGGGUCCUAGCGGAAACUAAGGGAUAUUAAGGCCUCCUUUUAAUAGAGAACCGGAACAAAGCAUUAGCACAUAGUGAAUACAUGAACUCCUCAAACUAUGGUCAUCACCGAGAAGUAUCCCGAUUAUUGUCACUUCGGGGUUGUCGGAUCAUAACACAUAAUAGGUGACUAUAGACUUGCAACAUAGGAUCAAGAACACACAUAUAUUCAUGAAAACAUAAUAGGUUCAGAUCUGAAAUCAUGGCACUCGGGCCGCCCUAGUGACAAGCAUUAAGCAGAGCAAAGUCAUAGCAACAUCAAUCUCAGAACAUAGUGGAUACUAGGGAUCAAACCCUAACAAAACUAACUUGAUUACAUGGUAAAUCUCAUCCAACCCAUCACCGUCCAACAAGCUGACGAUGGAAUUACUCACGCACGGUGGUGAGCAUCAUAAAAUUGGUGAUGCAGGAUGGUUGAUGAUGACGACAGCGACGAAU